rnacentral:lncRNA from 1 species
CCAGGAUGCAAGGAACUAUGGCCGUGUUAUAAUCCACCCACUGAGGAAGCUCUUAGCAAGUCAGGGGAGGAGACCACUGCGUGCUGUGUGUGGAGAGAGAGGUUCAAGAUACGGAACCUGAGGCCCAGAGAGGAGAAGAGACCUGCCCAAGGAUACACAGCGGACUAGAGGCAGAGAUGUUCCACCAGUGGGGAGAACCACAGAGAGACUGAAGGGAGAGAGCAGAGUGUGGCCAAGGGAAAUGCGAUCUCAGAACCGCGUUGCCUUCCUUUAAUCAGGACCUAAUUCCCUAUCACAGAGCUCAGAGAUGGAGGUUUGCAAGAAGACAAGGGAGGCGCUGGUGGAGGUGAUGAGAGAGGAUCCCCAUGGCCAGAGAAGGGCCCUUUGGGGAGAAUCAGUGAAGGAGGCCAAGCCAGGCCAACCCAGGGGGGAGCUGCUGCAGUCGUCACAUCUCGGGAGAGCCGAUGGGGCCUGGAGGAGAGGCGACAGAUCCCAUCAGGAGGCAGCAGAUGGAGCAGUGAGACUUGGUGACCGCGGCUGUGUGGAAGGGACUGAGUGAGAAAUGUGUAUGAAGUCGCCCCAGCCAAGAGGCAG